UCUUACAAACCUCCUUGUUAAUGCCUGAUCUCAACUGAUCUGUGAGGCUUAGCAGGGUUGGGCCUGGUUAGUACUUGGAUGGGAGACUGCUGGGAAUAGGUGCCAUGGUGAGGC
rnacentral:rRNA from 1 species